rnacentral:rRNA from 1 species
UACAGAGGUCUCAACCGUUGUUCGGAUUCAUUGGGCGUAAAGGGUGCGUAGGCGGCGGGGUAAGUCAGGUGUGAAAUCUCGGGGGCUCAACCCCCGAAACUGCACUUGAUACUGCCUUGCUUGAGUACUGGAGAGGAGACUGGAAUUUACGGUGUAGCAGUGAAAUGCGUAGAUAUCGUAAGGAAGACCAGUGGCGAAGGCGAGUCUCUGGACAGUUACUGACGCUGAGGCACGAAGGCCAGGGGAGCAAACGGG